ACGCUGGCGGCGUGCCUAACACAUGCAAGUCGAACGAGGUCCAUGAGAGCUUGCUCUCAGAAGACCUAGUGGCGAACGGGUGAGUAACACGUGAGAAACCUGCCUCGGAGUGGGGAAUAACUCGGGGAAACUCGAGCUAAUACCGCAUAUCUUCACAUGAUCGCAUGGUCGAGUGAAGGAAGAAUUUCGCUCUGAGAGGGUCUCGCGGCCUAUCAGCUUGUUGGUGGGGUAACGGCCCACCAAGGCAACGACGGGUAGCUGGUUUGAGAGAACGAUCAGCCACACUGGGACUGAGACACGGCCCAGACUCCUACGGGAGGCAGCAGUGGGGAAUCUUGCGCAAUGGGCGAAAGCCUGACGCAGCAACGCCGCGUGCGGGAUGACGGCCUUCGUGGUUGUAAACCGCUUUCAGCAGGGACGAAAAUGACGGUACCUGCAGAAGAAGCCCCGGCUAACUACGUG
rnacentral:rRNA from 1 species